rnacentral:rRNA from 1 species
UACGUAGGAGGCUAGCGUUAUCCGGAUUUAUUGGGCGUAAAGAGGGCGUAGGUGGCUUUUCAAGUCGGAUGUAAAAUCUCCCGGCUCAACUGGGAGGGCCCAUUCGAUACUGUUGGGCUAGAGUGCAGCAGGGGGAGGUGGAAUUCCCGGUGUAGUGGUGGAAUGCGUAGAUAUCGGGAGGAACACCAGUGGCGAAGGCGGCCUCCUGGGCUGCUACUGACACUGAGGCCCGAAAGCGUGGGGAGCGAACAGGAUUAGAUACCCCCGUA